rnacentral:misc_RNA from 1 species
GACAAAUGUCAAAGGCUGGAACAUAUACAUAGGAUUUAACAGAAACUUGAAUUUCCAUAAGUUAUCAUCUUUUUUUAAUAAAAACUUCUCUUUGGCAUACUUGGCACACAAUUUUCGUUUGGCACUCUUUCCAUGACCAAUUAUGGUCCUAACAUGAUAAAUUUUAAGGCAUUUUGCAAAGACCAGUAGAGGGAAGGAGAA